rnacentral:miRNA from 12 species
ACUCGAACACCGGUUCCGAAAC